UCCCCGGUAGCUCAGUAGUAGAGCGGCUGAUGUUUAAUCAGUGGCGCCGAUGGUGCGAAUCCAUCCUGGGGAG
rnacentral:tRNA from 1 species